AUUGAACGCUGGCGGCAGGCUUAACACAUGCAAGUCGAGCGGAGUGAUGGUGCUUGCACUAUCACUUAGCGGCGGACGGGUGAGUAAUGCUUAGGAAUCUGCCUAUUAGUGGGGGACAACAUCUCGAAAGGGAUGCUAAUACCGCAUACGUCCUACGGGAGAAAGCAGGGGAUCACUUGUGACCUUGCGCUAAUAGAUGAGCCUAAGUCGGAUUAGCUAGUUGGUGGGGUAAAGGCCUACCAAGGCGACGAUCUGUAGCGGGUCUGAGAGGAUGAUCGGCCACACUGGGACUGAGACGCGGCCCAGACUCCUACGGGAGGCAGCAGUGGGGAAUAUUGGACAAUGGGGGGAACCCUGAUCCAGCCAUGCCGCGUGUGUGAAGAAGGCCUUAUGGUUGUAAAGCACUUUAAGCGAGGAGGAGGCUCUUUUGGUUAAUACCCAAGAUGAGUGGACGUUACUCGCAGAAUAAGCACCGGCUAACUCUGUGCCAGCCGCCGCCGUAA
rnacentral:rRNA from 1 species